GAUGAAGAACGUAGCGAAAUGCGAUAAGUAAUGUGAAUUGCAGAAUUCAGUGAAUCAUCGAAUCUUUGAACGCACCUUGCACCCUUUGGCAUUCUGAAGGGUAUGCUCGUUUGAGUGUCAUUGUACUCUCACACUCCCGAUCUUUGCAUUGGGAGCAGUGGACUUGGGUUUGCUGCUUCACCGUCGCUUACCUCAAAUAGGUUAGUGCAACUCUUGGUUGGACAUAGUACGGCGUGAUAAGUGUUCUUCGCCGGUGCUUCGCAAAGAGGGUGGCCGAUCGGGAUGUUGUGCUCCAAACCGUCUUCGGACAAUCUCUGACGACUUGACCUCAAAUCGAGUAAGACUACCCGCUGAAAUUAAGCAUAUCAAUAAGCGGAGGA
rnacentral:misc_RNA from 1 species